ensembl:lncRNA
CACGUUUGCAAUUGGCACGGUUAUUUUAUUAGUACGAGUAUACUGAAACAAUAAACUUGUACUGGUUUACAGACAAUUUAUUUAAAACAAUUUUGUUCAAAUUUUGAAUCAAACAUUGUUUUAUUAUAAUAAUGAAAUAAUUUCUACCUAGAAAACCUGCAAGCACCAUCAAAGAAAGGGACCAUAAAAUUCAAUAAACAGACUCGAGUGUAUCCUACAAAUAGACACACCACGAUUAGAAAAUAGAAUAGGAAUUCUUCCAUUUUUUUUUAAUAUUUGUUUUAAAAAAGCUAGUGCAAGUACAAUAUUUUACACUGGAAUUACAGAGAGUAUGCACGCAUAUGGAAAAAAGUUCUCCUGUCACAAUAAAAGCUCUUAACUAUGUAUGCACUUAAAUUUUUCUUUUCAAUAAGGUGCAAAUCAUCAUCCCUUCCCUAGUUCUCCUCUGUACUGGCCAUGUCAGUCUGAUAGUGCCCUCAAAGUUCUGGUGUCUCUUUUUCCUUGGCCGGUGGGAGGCGUACAAUUGGAAGGUUGGUAGGUUGUGAGCUGAUACUAGAAAAACAUCGGUGUGACUCUCAGAGAUGGCCCUGGGGCCAGGACCCCACUGGCUAGAAAUUAGGACUCUUGUCUUAACCAAAGGCCACCAGAAAAUGCUGGCAGGGCUCUGCUGGAGCCUUUCAGCUGACACUAAUUUGGGUGUACAGGGAGUAGUGAAGGCUGAGGAGGAAAAAAAAAAAAACCUCCCCUAAAAGGCCAAAAGGGCAGUAUUCACAGAACUGAUGCACACAGGUAUCAAGUUUAAUUUUCACUGACAGUAAAGAAAUUCACCCCACUCCUGAACUGGAUUAAUUGAAGAGUAGGCGGUUCAUGUUAGGAACCAGAGGAAACCUACACACCCAGCUUGGUAACCGUUCAGACUUGCCAUUUAUUCCAGAGGACAGUUCCUGUUACCUCGGCAAGGAUGACUGCAAACAGCACUUCCAAAGGGGGCCUUCAGACUGGCCAUGGAAAAGGAGACUGGCUCAUCAGCCGUCCCAGACAGCAAACGAACAAACUAAAGGGAAAGAAAACUUGGGUGAAGUCUCCAAUUAUCUGCAGUGGAAGACUGGAGUCCUUUCAGCUAAGAAAAGUGACGGAAAUUCUUAAGAGACGGUUACUGGAGAGCUACUACCUAUUGGCCAAAAGCACUUAAUUUUAAUACAGCUGAACCAUUUGUAUGCAAGUCGUGAGGACACGAGAAACUGAAGCCACUGUUCCCUCCCGCCGUCAUACAGGUGAAUGUCAGCUACCAGAAACACUGCGUGUAAUGUGAGGGAGGGGCUCAGAUUCUGAAUUUUAAGAAUUGGAGGGGGGAUCUGCUCAACAUCCCGCCCCUCCCCUGCCAGCUGUCCAGUUUCUGCUGGCUGGUUUGAUUUCUGGACAGAAUAUGACUUCUGAGAAGUUGCUCCACGUUAAUUUUGGCCUCUUAAUGGUAAAGAAAAAAAAAAUCAAAACCAAAGUGAAACAAGGCAUCUCAACUGAAAUUCUUGUUUAACCCCCCACCCCCCGCCAUUGAAAUGAGGUGUCGGUGGGGAGAGAAGGCUGAACAUUUCUGUGUGUGUGUGUGUCCUCGUGAUGAGCCCCGUUUUCGUGGUAGCCAGGAUCCCUUGUUACAAACACUUCUUGUUCAGAAUUAUAUUCUUUGGGUUUACUGGAACAGGAAGUGCUGAAAAUGUCAAACAUCAUCUCUGGAGAAAAAGGAGUUGCAAUGGCUUAAGAGAGUUUAAACUAAGAAGGGAGCUCGGAGAAGUACUUUCGGCAUAGGAAUGAACAGUAUUCUCUAAUUGCAAAAUACAGAAUUACUCUCCCUCAGAUGAGGGUUCU